AGGAAGAGAAGCUAAAGUAUUUGGAAUUUGUACAAGCGACUACAGAUAAUGCUGUAACUGCCCUCUCAAACAUUUACCUUUAUGCCAAGGACAAUUCUGGUCCGUUGAAGCCUGGGGUCGAGACUAUUGAGGGUGUGGCAAAGACCGUGGUUAUUCCGGCCAGUAAAAUUCCCACUGAAGCUAUCAAGUUUGCAGACAGAGCGGUGGAUGCAUCUUUCACUACUCUACAAAACAUUGUUCCCUCAGUUCUCAAGCAGUUGCCUACCCAAGCUUGCGAUACUAGUGUGAAGGAAAGUGCAGAGUAACAUGCGUUCGCUAACCUUCCCUCAAUUUAUGCGAUCACUACUAGGCGUGACCCUCAAUAAGCUGCCACUUGUUCGUCACAACGAAACUGUACGUAGAGAAUUGCCAAGGUGUUUGGAGAUGAGGCAUCAUAAUUUGCACUGGAUUUGAUUAUUUAUCUAUUGUGAGCCUUUUUAUAUGUACUUAUUCAGUGUUUAGA
rnacentral:misc_RNA from 1 species